CUAUUCUGUUGGUCAUCAAAAACCUUCAGGCCUCAGCUAAGCUUCAUGAAGAAAAGGAUGACACAACGUUUUGGGGUGAAGCAUGCCAGGAUCUGGGAAUUGCUAAUGGCAAUAUCAAUAGGAAGAGGCUUAAACAUGCCUAUCAUCGACACAAAAAGAUCAAUGAAGCAGUGAGCCCUCCACAAAAAGCUGGGCCAGUUUCCCCACAGCCAGCCAACAUAACAGCAUGGCCAGUUUCCCCACAGCCUGAUGACAUUACUGCAGAGCCAGUGCACCAACAGCCCAAUACACAUACAUCGACAUCUCCAGCGGAAACUGCAGAGUUCCAUUGUACAACAGACAAUGGCAAUGGCUCCACAACAUCAUCAUCCGCGGAUGAAAAAGAAUAUGAGGAGCAAUUCUUUUGUCAUCCAUUGCCUAAGCAACCCUGUUUUUUUUUUAUUUCUGAAAAACAAUGGA